UGUGCUACGCAUGAGCAGCAUGUCACCUUCUUCAGAAUCUCCACUUAGAAAAUCUUCCUUUCAACACAAUAUGGUUCCUCACCCCAGUAGAGCAAAUUUGGGAGGCCUUGGGAGUCCAUCACGUUUUGCUCCUACUGGUCAACAGAGCCAUAGUGGAAAUCUAGCAGCAGUAUCUGUCUCUGGAACAAAUUAUAUUGCAUCUUCUCCUUGCCCUGCAGCUUCUGGUGGCACUUCUGUUUCCAGAGAUGCUGGACUACCAAGCCCAUGGAAUUAGUUAGAAAGCUUUUCGACAUUACAUCCAUUAUGUCACAUAAUCCAAUUUCUAUAUCUCUUUAAGACUGUAAAUUUGACCUUACUAACUAAAAAAAGAUUUAGUUUAGUUGGAAAAGAAGGAAGGAUUGAAAGGCUUUGUUUUUCUCUUUUUCUUUCUUUACCCUUUUCCGAUACAAGAAGCACUAUUGAAUACAGGAAUGCUUCGGUUCUGAUAUUAA